GUCAGAGUUGGGUCCUCUGAAAAAUUUACAGUGCUAAAUUAGAGCAUAUGCUGUGAGGUGAAGAGAAAAAAAAUGCUUAAGAUUGGAGCAAGUACAGUAUCUGUCUGCCCCCUAGUGUAAGGCUUUCAUGUGCUUGAAACUCAGAGUACACUGCAAAAAAAGAUGGGAUCUUAAAGGGAAACGACUUUUGGCUCGUUGCAAAGGGAAGAAGAAGAAGAAAAAAAAAAACUUCUGUACAUAUUAAUCUGAUUAGCAUCUAAGGAUUUAAUAUUAAUUGGCUUGGACAUAGCUGGAGAGCUGGGUAAAGUUUGUGCAUCAUGUAAAGCAGUGGUGAGUGGAUGGAUAUAGGGGGCUGAUGCAGUGUGCUGUCUCAUUGAUGGACCGUGUGUGCCUGAUCAGACCAUUCUAUUCAGCCUGCACACUAUCCCUGCAGUCUCUCCAGGACGACACGUCGACAUUGAAAUUACAUGGAGGGACAUGGAUCAAUCUUGGUGUAUUUUAGACUAUAUUGUGGACGCUUUCAAGAUGUGCAAAUUUUGCGCAAUUGUGACAAAUUUACCAUUUUAGUGCAAGCCUCAUGAUAAAUUAGGUGCAAACUUCAAACUUCAACCACUCUUCCAAAGUGCACAAGAUUGUCAAAAAGGUCUACGCUGCAUCAAGAUUUCUUUACCCACUUUUUCCACUUUCAGUCAUUUGAUAGAGGAGGGUGAUACAAAGUCGCCUGGAUAGGAUGCCCCCCUGCGAAAUGAUGCAGAACCCAAGGGUUAGUUAUCCAGUGAGGUUAUCUGUGUGGUUUGAUGACACCAUCAGAAUGAAGGUCUUCUGAGGACUACCAGACUCCAUAUGCCUUAUUAUGAAGGUCACCACAGUGCAGAUGUCCCCUUCUUCUAUCUUCAUGAACAAUGAGAGGAUCAGACAGAACACAGGACCACAACCAUCACGAUGACAACAUACUUAGUGAAGGUGGCUCCGAGUAAUGAAAAGUCCUAAUCACCUUGCCAAUCCUCCGGUAAUUACCUGCAGUGGUCACAUGCCCUAUUUUGAGAGGAACCUGGAAGUACAGACUAAUGGGGAACCAAACAACCAUCAGAAUUGGAGCAGCGGGGAUCAGUAAGGAUUUUUUUUGACAACACAGAAAAACUGAAUGAAAAGACAGAUAUCAUCAACAAUGUCAACCAUUCCUCCAUCGAGUAAUAUCACUCUAAUAUGUGCCAUAAAACAAGCAUGAGAUAAAUGAAGACAAAUGUCUACAAUGGCUCUAUGUGCAGAAGAUGUUGUAGUGAGAUGAAUCAAUACAGAAUACAGUCUGCAGAGAGUGGAGGAGUGGGCAUUUCCUGUGACUUGGCUCACCAUAAGAAAGUGGUGAGGAAUAGGGGCUCAGAUUUCUUCAACUGACUAAGCAAGGACCAAAGAGGCACCAUUAUUCAAAGAAGAGAUUUUAGGAGUUGUAACUAUAAGUAUGUCGUGAAGAAGCUUGGGAAAAAGAAUGACUUAUCUCAUUGUUUUACUGCAGAAUUGUAAAGGGGUAAACAUGGAUUUCCUGGUGAUUAACCAAUAGGCAACAGCGCAUGGCAAGUAGUCAUGGGCCCGUCAUGUCAGUAAUGGCUAUCCUGAAAGAGGGAUAAAUUAGAUGAAAAAGUCCUGAGCAAGAAAGAGCACUAUGUUAUUGUCCAAAGGACCCAAAAAGUUAAAGGUCCUUGGCAGAUGCCUAUGUAACAGAAGAUCAUGGGCACGGCUGAUCAUGUUGUCAUCAUUGGAGAAUAUUAUUCAUAGAAGUAUUCUAAACUCAAUGAAUAAAUAAGUAAUGGAUGAAGUAGUGGAUGGAAGAAUCCAUUGUGCAACAUGAAAAGAAACAUCAAUGAGAAAGUUGAGCUCAGCAACAGAAGGAAGCACAACAGGAAGGGAAAAGAAGGAAGAGGAAAGGCAGAGAUGGAGAAAAAAACAAAAGAGAUGGAGAAAGCACAGAAACAUAUAUCACGGAUGGUCACAAAUCCCUCCAAAGCUAUGACUUCCAACUUCCUUGAACUGUAGUUAUCAGCCAACAAACAGAUAUAGUGGUAGGAUGGCGCGGCCCUCAUUAUGGAAACACUUCGACCACAUCAAGGUAUAAAAUAAUGAAACAGAUGUCUGUAUUUCCCUUUUUUCUUCUAAAGUACAAUACAUUUGGCUUGGAUCUUUGAAAAAAAGCAAUUUGCACCAUCCAUAUGAUGCAUUAGGCUGCGAAGGGAUUUCGAGAUUUUACAAAUGACUCUUUAUUUGUUAGAUCAGAAUUACUUUUCUCACAAAAGACCAGAACUGUGAAAUCCUGGUGAAAAUAAAGUUGGCAAACACAUAAAUGUGGCAAAGUGGAGCUUCCUUGACAUUAAAGAAAUCCAAGUGUCCUCGUAAGUGUCCUUUCUGAUGUUUUGUAUUUAUCGCAGGUUCUUCAACACUUGCACAAACAUAAACGAAAUGUAUGCACAAAAGACAAUAAUCCAGUAACUAAACACCUAAAAAAUUAAGUUUAGUACAGCAAGUACCCUCAACAAACCAAUGGUGGCUUAUUUAAAGGGGU